rnacentral:misc_RNA from 1 species
GAAGUAUGCACAAGAUGAGGAAGCUGCUGAUGACCAGGAAGAGACGGGAUGGAAGUACAUUCAUGGUGAUGUAUUUAGGUACCCAAAGUACAAAUCUUUGUUUGCUGCUGCUCUUGGUUCUGGCACCCAGUUGUUUACACUGUAAGGAACCCGUGCACAAAUUAUAUUCUAAAGCGUGUUGCUCAAUUUAUUAUGUUUUUUGUUCUUGGCUAUGUUGUUUAAUGUCUAUCAUCUAAUUUCUUAUGUGCAUCCAGCACUGUAUUUAUUUUUAUGCUUGCCUUGGUUGGCGUAUUUUAUCCAUACAAUCGAGGAGCUCUAUUUACUGCACUG